GCAGACAUGACCGCUCUCAGGUGCUUCUCCUUCCCUUUUGGAUUGGCGAUGGAUCACAACCGCGCUGGUCUUCCUGGUGACUUACCUGUUGGGUCGCUUCUACUACCGUGUAUCGAAGUACCCGAAGGGACCCUUUCCACUUCCACUUGUGGGUAACCUGCUGGCGUUGCGCCACGUGACCGACUUGCACGCCAAAUCGACUGAAUUGUCCAAGAUAUACGGCGACGUCUUCACUUUGUGGAUGGCCCACAGGCCUAUGGUGAUGCUGAACAGCUACGCUGUUAUACGGGAAGCACUGGUGGAGAGACGGCACGAUUUCGCCGGCCGCUUUCCUACUAGAACAGGUGCCUUGCAAAACGAAGGCAACCACGAUAUAGUACUCGAGGAUUACAACCCCUAUUGGAGGGCUCUUCGGAAGGUGGUGGUGUCAGCGUC
rnacentral:lncRNA from 1 species